rnacentral:rRNA from 1 species
CCCCGUGAACCUUUACUAUAGCUUGACACUGAACAUUGAGCCUUGAUGUGUAGGAUAGGUGGGAGGCUUUGAAGCGUGGACGCCAGUCUGCGUGGAGCCGACCUUGAAAUACCACCCUUUAAUGUUUGAUGUUCUAACGUGGACCCGUAAUCCGGGUUGCGGACAGUGUCUGGUGGGUAGUUUGACUGGGGCGGUCUCCUCCUAAAGAGUAACGGAGGAGCACGAAGGUUGGCUAAUCCUGGUCGGACAUCAGGAGGUUAGUGCAAUGGCAUAAGCCAGCUUGACUGCGAGCGUGACGGCGCGAGCAGGUGCGAAAGCAGGUCAUAGUGAUCCGGUGGUUCUGAAUGGAAGGGCCAUCGCUCAACGGAUAAAAGGUACUCCGGGGAUAACAGGCUGAUACCGCCCAAGAGUUCAUAUCGACGGCGGUGUUUGGCACCUCGAUGUCGGCUCAUCACAUCCUGGGGCUGAAGUAGGUCCCAAGGGUAUGGCUGUUCGCCAUUUAAAGUGGUACGCGAGCUGGGUUUAGAACGUCGUGAGACAGUUCGGUCCCUAUCUGCCGUGGGCGCUGGAGAACUGAGGGGGGCUGCUCCUAGUACGAGAGGACCGGAGUGGACGCAUCACUGGUGUUCGGGUUGUCAUGCCAAUGGCACU